CCUGCAGAUCUCUUCCCUUCUGUGGCCAUCGCUGAAACGCUAGCGGCCAAAAUGAAGUUCAAUCCCUUUGUGACUUCUGACCGAAGCAAGAAUCGAAAAAGGCAUUUCAAUGCGCCUUCCCACAUUCGCAGGAAAAUUAUGUCUUCUCCUCUUUCUAAAGAGCUAAGACAGAAGUACAACGUUCGAUCCAUGCCCAUCCGAAAGGAUGAUGAAGUUCAGGUUGUACGAGGGCACUACAAAGGACAGCAAAUUGGCAAAGUAGUCCAGGUUUACAGGAAGAAAUACGUCAUCUAUAUUGAACGAGUGCAGCGGGAGAAGGCUAACGGCACAACUGUCCAUGUGGGCAUUCACCCCAGCAAGGUCUGCUGCUAAGUCACUUCAGUCAUGUCCGACUCUGUGCGACCCCAUAGACGGCAGCCCACCAGGCUCUCCCGUCCCGGGGAUUCUCCAGGUGGUUAUCACCAGACUAAAACUGGACAAAGACCGCAAAAAGAUCCUCGAACGUAAAGCCAAAUCUCGCCAAGUAGGAAAGGAAAAGGGCAAAUAUAAGGAAGAAACAAUUGAGAAGAUGCAAGAAU